rnacentral:rRNA from 1 species
UACGUAGGGUGCAAGCGUUGUCCGGAAUUAUUGGGCGUAAAGGGCGCGUAGGCGGCCAGCGCAAGUCAGUUGUGAAAUCUCCGGGCUUAACUCGGAACGGUCAACUGAUACUGCGCGGCUAGAGUGCAGAAGGGGCAACUGGAAUUCUCGGUGUAGCGGUGAAAUGCGUAGAUAUCGAGAGGAACACCUGCGGCGAAGGCGGGUUGCUGGGCUGACACUGACGCUGAUGCGCGAAAGCCAGGGGAGCGAACGGG